CCUUCAAGCUCCACGAAUCAAGCCCCUUUCUGUCAAGCCCUGGGAAUGUCGUCGCGUAACAGAGCGAAAUGUAACGCGUCGGGGGUUGAGAAUACAGGGAUUUCUCGGUGACGGCGCAAGGUCAAAUGAAAAGCGCGAGUGACCCCAGCGCCGACUAUGAUCCAAGUGCCGCCAGACGAAAGCAUGUUGGGCAUAAAACCAGAUUGACUAUCACCGCGUUCUUCUUGCCGGGU
rnacentral:rRNA from 1 species